rnacentral:rRNA from 1 species
CACGUAGGGCGCAAGCGUUGUCCGGAAUUAUUGGGCGUAAAGAGCUCGUAGGCGGACUGUCACGUCUGCUGUGAAAAGCUGGGGCUUAACCCUGGCCUUGCAGUGGAUACGGGCAGACUAGAGGUAGGUAGGGGAGAAUGGAAUUCCCGGUGUAGCGGUGAAAUGCGCAGAUAUCAGGAGGAACACCGGUGGCGAAGGCGGAUCUCUGGGCCGUAACUGACGCUGAGGAGCGAAAGCAUGGGGAGCGAACAGG